rnacentral:sRNA from 1 species
CUUCCUCGAUCUGCUGCGGCGCGAUGAAGUGGAUAUGGCUGUCCAUGCCGCCCGCAGUAACGAUCUUGCCUUCGGCGGCGAUCGCCUCCGUGCCCGGGCCGACAAUAAUAUUGACGCCCGGCUGCAUGUCAGGAUUGCCCGCCUUGCCGAUCGCGACGAUGCGUCCGCUCUUCAGCCCGAUAUCGGCCUUGUAGAUGCCGGAAUGAUCGACGAUUACCGCGUUGGUGAUGACGGUAUCGACCGCGCCGUCCGCCCGCGUCACCUGGCUCUGGCCCAUGCCGUCGCGGAU